rnacentral:rRNA from 1 species
CCUACGGGUGGCAGCAGUGAGGAAUAUUGGUCAAUGGACGCAAGUCUGAACCAGCCAUGCCGCGUGCAGGAAGACGGCUCUAUGAGUUGUAAACUGCUUUUGUACGAGGGUAAACGCAGAUACGCGUAUCUGUCUGAAAGUAUCUUACGAAUAAGGAUCGGCUAACUCCGUGCCAGCAGCCGCGGUAAUACGGAGGAUUCAAGCGUUAUCCGGAUUUAUUGGGUUUAAAGGGUGCGUAGGCGGUCUGAUAAGUUAGAGGUGAAACCCCGAGGCUCAACCUCGGAAUUGCCUCUGAUACUGUUCGGCUAGAGAGUAGUUGCGGUAGGCGGAAUGUAUGGUGUAGCGGUGAAAUGCUUAGAGAUCAUACAGAACACCGAUUGCGAAGGCAGCUUACUAAGCUACUUCUGACGUUGAGGCACGAAAGCGUGGGGAGCAAACAGGAUUAGAUACCCUUGUAGUC